rnacentral:tRNA from 1 species
GAUCCCGUGGCUCAAUGGUUAGAGCGUUGGACUUCCAAUCAACAGGUUACGGGCUCG